AUACGAAGGGUGCAAGCGUUAAUCGGAAUUACUGGGCGUAAAGCGCGCGUAGGUGGUUCGUUAAGUUAGGAGUGAAAGCCCCGGGCUCAACCUGGGAAUUGCUUCUAAAACUGGCGAGCUAGAGUAUGGUAGAGGGUGGUGGAAUUUCCUGUGUAGCGGUGAAAUGCGUAGAUAUAGGAAGGAACAUCAGUGGCGAAGGCGACCACCUGGACUAAUACUGACACUGAGGUGCGAAAGCGUGGGGAGC
rnacentral:rRNA from 1 species